GUUUUUCGCUCUAAGAUGAGCUCGCGUGAGAUUAGCUAGUUGGUGAGGUGAUGGCUCACCAAGGCGACGAUCUCUAACAGGUCUGAGAGGAUGAUCUGUCACACUGGAACUGAGACACGGUCCAGACUCCUACGGGAGGCAGCAGUAGGGAAUAUUGCACAAUGGAGGAAACUCCGAUGCAGCGACGCCGCGUGAGUGAUGAAGGACUUCGGUUCGUAAAGCUCUGUCGUAUGGGAAUAAGAAAGUG
rnacentral:rRNA from 1 species